UGUGUGUGUAUGGACUCAGCAGAGUCUGUGUGUGUGUGUGUAUGGACUCAGCAGAGUCUGUGUGUGUGUGUGUAUGGACUCAGCAGUCUCUGUGUGUGUGUGUGUAUGGACUCAGCAGAGUCUGUGUGUGUUUGUGUGUAUGGACUCAGCAGAGUGUGUGUGUGUGUGUGUGGACCUCGUGCAGAGUCUGUGUGUGUGUGUGUAUGGACUCAGCAGUUCUGUGUGUGUGUGUGUAUGGACUCAGCAGAGCCCGUGUGUUUGUGCGGUGGACUCCAGCAGAGUGUGUGUGUGUGUGUGUAUGGACUCAGCAGUCUGUGUGUGUGUAAUGACUCGGGAAGCAGAGUCUGUGUGUGUGUAUGGACCUCAGCAGCCCUGUGCGUGUGUGUGUGUGUAUUGACUCAGCAGUCUGUGUGUGUAUGGACUCAGCAGUCUGUGUCUGUGUGUGUGUGUAUGGACUCAGCAGUCUGUGUGUGUGUGUAUGGACUCAGCAGUCUGUGUGUGUAAUGACUCAGCAGAGUCUGUGUGUGUGUAUGGACUCAGCAGAGUCUGUGUGUGUGUGUAUGGACUCAGCAGAGUCUGUGUGUGUGUUUAUAGACUCAGCAGAGUCUGUGUGUGUGUAUGGACUCAGCAG